rnacentral:rRNA from 1 species
GUAGUUAGCCGGGGCUUCCUCCUAUGGUACCGUCAUUUGUUUCUUCCCAUAGGACAGAAUUUUACAAUCCGAAGACCUUCUUCAUUCACGCGGCAUUGCUGGGUCAGGCUUUCGCCCAUUGCCCAAUAUUCCCCACUGCUGCCUCCCGUAGGAGUCUGGGCCGUGUCUCAGUCCCAGUGUGGCCGUUCAACCUCUCAGUCCGGCUACCCAUCGCGGUCUUGGUGAGCCGUUACCUCACCAACUAACUAAUGGGACGCGAGCCCAUCUUUAAGCGGAUUUCUCCUUUAACUCUAUGGUCAUGCGACCUCUGAGUCUUAUGCGGUAUUAGCACUGAUUUCUCAGUGUUGUCCCCCUCUUAAAGCCAGGUUGCUCACGCGUUACUCACCCGUCCGCCACUAAGUUACAGACCGAAGUCCGUAACUCCGUUCGACUUGCAUGUGUAGCACGCCGCCACGCGUCGUCUCGACGCACGAUACGACCUACGA